GCUUCUUCGGCAGUACAUAUACAAAUUGGGAAAGAUAAAAGAAGAUUUGCAUGGCCCCUGCGCAAAGGGUGCACGCAAAAUCGUGAAACGUUCCCCAAUUUU